CGGGGUGUAGCGCAAUUGGCAGCGCGCUUGGUUUGGGACCAAGAUGCUGGAGGUUCAAGUCCUCUCACUCCGA
rfam:[Clostridium] termitidis CT1112 Ct_contig00041, whole genome shotgun sequence.